AUCAGCUCGACAGUUAUGUAUCUAAAGAUAUGAUAAAUAAUAUUUAAAAUAAUGAUAAGCGAUAUAUACAACAUUAUAACCAAGUUAUUAGUAUUAUAAUCACUAAGUUUAUUUACCUAUGUAAAAUUGAUAGCAUUCGCUAGACUAGCAUGAAUCAAGUGAUAUUAAAAUAAUAACUUCAAUAUUCCCAAAUGCGUAGUGUAUCUAAGGAAUUAUAUUUUUUGGUCUAAUAUCCAGUCGGGAUUCGAUCGGUUUCGAUGGGGAUCUGGUGCUGCAUAAAAUCUAUUGUAUUUAGCGCGACCAUUGGACAAACGAUAAUCGACACAUUUGGUACUGUGGCUAGAGUUGAUGGUAUUUCCAUGCAACCUACGUUCAAUCCAAACACCACAGUGGACUUAGUAUUCAUGUCAUAUCUGCCAGUACGUUUUGGUACUAUUAAACGUGGCGAUAUUAUCAUAGCUAUAUCACCCAGGAAUCCAAAUGAAACCAUCAUUAAGCGAGUGGUUGGCAUUGAAGGUGAUGUAUUAGUUUUAAAAAAAAGUAACAAUUCAAGUAUAAGAAGAGUUGUUCCAAAGGGAUAUUAUUGGAUUGAAGGUGAUCAUAAAGGUCAUACAUAUGACUCUACUAGUUUUGGUCCAAUUUCUAAAGGUCUUGUUAUUGCCAAAGCUCCAGCUAUAGUUUGGCCACCCAGUAGAUGGCAGCUAAUAUAAUCUAAGCUCCAUUAAUGAGUUUAAAAGAAAACUCUUUAUUAAAAUGUUUGAAUAAUUUAUGUUCAAAAUCAUUCAAUUUCUCCAGUGCUUUUCAAGGAUAUAUGCAUUUUGGACAAGAAACAAAUAAAUUUAUCAUCUAGCCGAUGUCAUAGUGAUCGACCAAACAACAGCUAUAGUUUCUUUUUAGAUUUUUUCAUUCAGUGGGAAACCAAUGAUAUUAUUUAUAAUUAGUUAUAUUAGUGUCGAAAAUGUUA
rnacentral:misc_RNA from 1 species